rfam:Felis catus isolate Cinnamon breed Abyssinian chromosome F2, whole genome shotgun sequence.
GCCUGGGUGGCUCAGUCGGUUGAGCGUCCAACUUCAGCUCAGGUCAUAAUCUCGCUGUCUGUGGGUUCGAGCCCCGCAUCAGGCU